rnacentral:rRNA from 1 species
AAUACAUGCAGUCGAGCGCGGGAAGCGAGCGGAUCCCUUCGGGGUGAAGCUCGUGGAACGGAGCGGCGGACGGGUGAGUAACACGUGGGCAACCUGCCUGUAAGACCGGAAUAACCCCGGGAAACCGGGGCUAAUGCCGGGUAAUACUUUUCUUCCCAUGAAGGAAAGUUGAAAGAUGGCUUCUCGCUAUCACUUACAGAUGGGGCCCGCGGCGGCAUUAGCUAGUUGGUGAGGUAACGGCUCACCAAGGCGACGAUGCGUAGCCGACCUGAGAGGGUGAUCGGCCACACUGGGACUGAGACACGGCCCCAGACUCCUUACGGGAGGCAGCAGUAGGGAAUCUUCCCGCAAUGGACGAAAGUCUGACGGAGCAACCGCCGCGUGAACGAUGAAGGUCUUCGGAUCGUAAAGUUCUGUUGUUAGGGAAGAACAAGUACCGUGCGAAUAGAGCGGUACCUUUGACGGGUACCUAACGAGGAAGCCCCGGCUAACUACGUGCCA